GAUGAACGCUGGCGGCGUGCCUAAUACAUGCAAGUCGAGCGAACGGACGAGGAGCUUGCUUCUCUGAUGUUAGCGGCGGACGGGUGAGUAACACGUGGAUAACCUACCUAUAAGACUGGGAUAACUUCGGGAAACCGUAGCUAAUACCGGAUAAUAUUUUGAACCGCAUGGUUCAAUAGUGAAAGACGGUUUUGCUGUCACUUAUAGAUGGAUCCGCGCUGCAUUAGCUAGUUGGUAAGGUAACGGCUUACCAAGGCAACGAUGCAUAGCCGACCUGAGAGGGUGAUCGGCCACACUGGAACUGAGACACGGUCCAGACUCCUACGGGAGGCAGCAGUAGGGAAUCUUCCGCAAUGGGCGAAAGCCUGACGGAGCAACGCCGCGUGAGUGAUGAAGGUCUUCGGAUCGUAAAACUCUGUUAUUAGGGAAGAACAUAUGUGUAAGUAACUGUGCACAUCUUGACGGUACCUAAUCAGAAAGCCACGGCUAACUACGUG
rnacentral:rRNA from 1 species